GACGAACGCUGGCGGCGUGCCUAACACAUGCAAGUCAGGGGGAAAUUUUUCUUCGGAAAAAGAGUAUACCGGCGAACGGGUGAGUAACGCGUAGAUAACCUACCCUAUACUCGGGGAUAACACAGAGAAAUUUGUGCUAACACCCGAUGAGGCAGUUCACUGUCAAAGGAAACGGUAUAGGAUGGGUCUGCGUCUGAUUAGCUAGUUGGUAGGGUAAAGGCUUACCAAGGCGACGAUCAGUAGCUGGUUUGAGAGGAUGAUCAGCCACACUGGAACUGAGACACGGUCCAG
rnacentral:rRNA from 1 species